rnacentral:rRNA from 1 species
GACAUAGGGCGCAAACGUUAUCCGGAAUUAUUGGGCGUAAAGGGUGCGUAGAUGGUUCAGUAAGUUACUGGUGGAAAAUCGAGGCCCAACCUCGUGGAAGUUAGUAAUACUGUUGAACUUGAGUGCAGGAGAGGUUAACGGAACUUCAUGUGGAGAGGUAAAAUGCGUAGAUAUAUGAAAGAACAUCAAUAUGGCGAAGGCAGUUAACUAUACUGAUACUGACAUUGAGGCAUGAAAGCGUGGGGAGCAAAACGG